GAUGAAGAACGUAGUGAAAUGCGAUACUUGGUAUGAAUUGCAGAAUCCCGUGAACCAUCGAGUCUUUGAACGCAAGUUGCGCCCGAAGCCAUUAGGCCGAGGGCACGCCUGCCUGGGUGUCACACAUCGUUACCCUCGCGCCAACGUCCAGUGUUGGGCACGGCGCAGGGCGUAUGCUGACCUCCCGCGAGCGGGGUCUCGUGGUUGGUUGAAAAUCGAGUUCGCGGUCGAGUGUGCCGUGAUGAAAUGGUGGAUGGGCGACGCCCGAGGCCAAUCCAAUCACGCGCGACUCUGUCCGGCUUGGACUCCUGGACCCCUUGGGCGUCUCCGGACGCUCCCCAGCGAGACCUCAGGUCAGGCGGGGCUACCCGCUGAGUUUAAGCAUAUCAAUAAGCGGAGGA
rnacentral:misc_RNA from 1 species